rnacentral:rRNA from 1 species
GACGAACGCUGGCGGCGUGCUUAACACAUGCAAGUCGAACGGAAAGGCCCUGCUUUUGUGGGGUGCUCGAGUGGCGAACGGGUGAGUAACACGUGAGUAACCUGCCCUUGACUUUGGGAUAACUUCAGGAAACUGGGGCUAAUACCGGAUAGGAGCUCCUGCUGCAUGGUGGGGGUUGGAAACUUUCGGCGGUUGGGGAUGGACUCGCGGCUUAUCAGCUUGUUGUUGGGGUAGUGGCUUACCAAGACUUUGACGGGUAGCCGGCCUGAGCGGGUGACCGGCCACAUUGGGACUGAGAUACGGCCCAGACUCCUACGGGAGGCAGCAGUGGGGAAUAUUGCACAAUGGGCGGAAGCCUGAUGCAGCAACGCCGCGGGCGGGAUGACGGCCUUCGGGUUGUAAACCGCUUUCGCCUGUGACGAAGCGUGAGUGACGGUAAUGGGUAAAGAAGCACCGGCUAACUACGUG